rnacentral:rRNA from 1 species
AGGUCGACGUGGGUGGGUAACAGCGUAUAGAACCUACCUUUUAUUUGGGGAUAGGCUUUAGAAAUGAAGAUUAAUAUCCAAUAGUAUUUAUUAGUUGCAUGAUUGAUAAAUUAAAGAAGUAAUUUGAUAAAAGAUGGCUAUGCGUCCUAUUAGCUAUAUAGUUAGGUAACGGCUGACUAUGGCAACGAUAGGUAGGGGUCCUGAGAGGGAGAGCCCCCACACUGGUACUGAGACACGGACCAGACUCCUACGGGAGGCAGCAGUGAGGAAUCUUGGGCAAUGGAGGGAACUCUGACCCAGCCAUGCCGCGUGCAGGAGUACGGUCUUAUGGAUUGUAAACUGCUUUUAUACAGGAAGAAAGGGUCGUACGUGUACGAUUAUAUGACGGUACUGUAAGAAUAAGCACCGGCUAACUCCGUGCCAGCAGCCGCGGUAAUACGGAGGGUGCAAGCGUUAUUCGGAAUUAUUGGAUUUAAAGGGUCCGCAGGCUGUUUAAUAAGUCAGAGGUGAAAUUCCAUAGCUUAACUAUAGGGUGUGCCUUUGAAACUGUUAAACUUGAGUAAUAUGGGAGUAAAUAGAAUGUGUAGUGUAGCGGUGAAAUGCAUAGAUAUUACACAGAAUACCGAAAGCGAAGGCAGUUUACUACAAAUUUACUGACGCUGAUGGACGAAAGCGUGGGUAGCGAACAGGAUUAGAUACCCUGGUAGUCCACGCCGUAAACGAUGGACACAAGUUGUUGGGAUAGAAUUUCAGUGACUAAUCGAAAGUGAUAAGUGUCCCACCUGGGGAGUACGGGUCGCAAGAUUG